CUGGAAUCGCAAGACUCCCAACCCCUGUGAACAUACCUGAACGUUGCCUCGGCGGGACCGCCCCGGCGCCCUCGGGCGGCCCGGAAACCAGGCGCCCGCCGCAGGACCCCAAACUCUUGCUUCCGAACAGUGGGAUCACGCACUCUGAGUACAGCGAGAAUGAAUCA
rnacentral:misc_RNA from 1 species